CGGCUGCAGAUAACCUCAAACGCCGAGGAAAACGCCACAAAGACAGAAAUAACAUAAAUGAAAGAAGGUUUCUCUCUCUCUCUCUCUUCUCUCUCUCUCUCUCUCUCUCUCUCUUAAUAUUCCAAGGCGCUCGUGACGUGAGGCUGAAUAUCCCGACCCUGUGACUGUGUUAUAUUCAUCACUCGCCUGGAUUCCCUCCCCCCGCCUUCUUCAGCAGGCACACCGGCCGUGGAGGAGGAGAUGAGUUCCGAAACCCCAGAGAAGACUCCACCCACCCGCCCACCCCCUCCAACGACGCUCAUGAUGAACACAGAGGCAGCCUCGCAGGAGGAAGAGUUUGUGAAAACGUAUCGAGAGGCUUACAAGUACAUCGACCAUGGGAUCACUCUGGCCACGCAGAAUAUGCACACUCAGGCAGGAUCGGUAUUACAGAAAGGCCUGGCACUCAUAGACAAAGCUCUCACCAUCAAGAUUGAGAACUUUGAUUGCAGCGGAGAGAAAAUCCAACAUUAUGCCGAGAUGCAGAACAAGAUGCGGUGUACCAGAAAAGAAGUUUUAAACCACUUCACGGAUAGUCAGGCAGCCAUGAACCCAAGCGCAGGUGCUGCAGCUCCUGGUCUGGAAGAUGCUCCCCCUUCGUACGAGGACUACCUCAGGUCCCUUGACUCUGGCACUGCCACCUCCAGCAGUGAGGGUGGAAAUGCCGGCACAGGUGCAGUCUCCUACCCGCGUCUCAGCGCACUCAACCCACAGGUUCAAGAAGCUGCCUUUACAGAGAUCGCAUCAGAGUCACCCAUCGUGACCCCUGUCAUGUCACCCCAGAAUGGAGAAAUGAUCUUCCAGAUUGAGAAUGGGGUACAGAUCUUUUUCAUUUAUCCUGAUGGCCGUGUCACCAGUCCGUCCUACCCUUCAUUCCUGGCUGUGUUUACUUUCCCUGAGCCUAUCGGGCAUAAUACCGGUCCCAAUGGUGCACGAGGGUUCCUGCAGGUUGGAGAGUGGAGUUACCCCCUGAUUCCAGCACGCAGCCCUGUCCUUCACUCCUUCUAUGGGGCCUACAUGUUUCCUGAUGUCACAAAUAAUGUUCCAGGCUCAAGCGUUGGGAUCAUUAUCCCUGACACGGUGGAGAAGGAAACGCUGGAAUUCUUUGAGCAGAUCCUGAUGCAGCUAACCUCAUACCAGGAACAGAAGACUCCUGAGGGAAUAGAUGCAGAGAAGGAAACCGAACUUAUCCACCAGUCCACCUCAGAAAGGAUUGCCUCAGGUUUGGUUGCAGGAGCUGAAGCAAUCUCGAAGGGUGUGGUGUGGGGUGCAGCUAAACUCAGUGAGCUCAUAACCAUUGGCUCAGAAAAUUUGAAGGAAUAUGUCCAGCCUGAAGAAAGUAAGAAGGAGAUUGACCCCAAGUGGCAGACAACAGCAAAGGUGGCACGGGAUGUUUCUGGCAAGGCGGUGAAAGUCAGCGGAUUUCUUUUGAGCCAAGUAGGCAAGGCAACCAUGGCGCUUGGCAGGCGAGUGGCACCACAUAUCCAGAGGCAUGGAACGCGAGCCAUCUCUCACCUGACAGGGCAGAAGGAGAAGGAAGCCAAUUCAAAUGUGGAGGGUGUGUUGGAGGUAGCUGCAGGGGCCGUGAAGGGUGCCUCCACCGUCUACAUGAGUUUAGAGAAUGCUGCUGCCACUCUUGCUACCAGUAUCACUCAGAACACUGUCAAAGUGGUCACUCACAAAUAUGGUGAGGAAGCAGGCAACCUCACAGACAACACACUUUAUGCUGUAGGGCAGACUGCUUUGGUUGGGCAUAACAUCGCUUCACUGGGAGUUAAGGGCAUUGCCAAGCGAACAGCCAAAGAUACAGGGAAGGCUCUCGUUCACCAGCACGAGGAGAAGAAGCAGUCUAAAAUAGCUGGAGGAGUGGAAGAGGCAGAAGAGGCCAUGGAAGUCACAGAGGAAGAUGGAAACAAUCCUCCUACAAAGCCAAUUCGAGAAAAGAAGAAGAAACCUCUUUAAGAAGUUUUCCUUUUUCUCCUUGUUUUUUUUUUUCUUUUCUUUUCUUUCUCGAAUUCUUUUCAUCUCAAUUAUUAUUUCCUUUCACUGUUUUAAAAGAAAGCAAUGGAUAGUUCAGUUUCUUGUAAAGGACCUUACAUAUACAGCAUGAAGAAAACCACAAGCAAGUUAUUGUGAAGAAAAGAUCAUAUGAUCAGAUAAUGACGUUCCUGCUUCUGACUCCACCCUGGAUAAAGAAGUGAAUACCAAGUUUCAUCCCUUCUUUAACUGUAAAUUGUAUGUUUUAUCACAUUGCCCUGAAAAUGCUUUUGUAAUUUAGUGAUUUAUUGCAAUGUUAGAGGAUGAUUUGCAAUGCGUGACCUGAAAGCGUAGGUAUACUUGCUAUGAUUUUUUUUUUUUUUUUUCUUUAAUGAUUCUAACAUUUUCACAUUCAUGUUUUCUUUCUUCUUUCCAUUUCAAACAUUGUGAAACAUUUAAUGUGUACGGUUUAUCCCUAAAUAUUACAUUAAUUUUUGUCACUUUUUCUCACCAAAAUCAUACAAGUAAACCUGAUCCACUCACAGAUUUAUUUUUGUAUUUUAUUUUGUUUUUGUUUGUAUAUGGUUUUCUUAUGUCUGAUAAGUGUGUUUGUAUCUGUUUUUAUUGUGUUUGAUGAGUGAACUAAAUUAACAUGUUAUUUUCUUCCAUGUAACCAAUGUGAAUGUCUUAAAUUAUUACUUAUUUUCUUUAAAAAAAAAAUGUCCUGUUAGCAGUGUUUGAAAUACUGUUCUUGUUUAUAAUUAAUAUUAUUAGCAGUAUCAGUAACAUAAUGUCAAAAAUAUUUUGAUCAUUGUAAUAAUACUUAAAUCUUUUAUAUGAUUUUUAUUACUUCGUACGAUGGUUACAUAAUUUCCUCAGUAAUUUUUGUAACAUUAGGGGAAAUCCCUCUUACAAAGAAUGUUAAGUUAACCAAUCAUUGUAACAUAAACAUUGAAUAAUACUCAUGUAUUUUUCUAAUGUCUAAAAUUUUGUUGCACUAUUUUAUAAAUGUCAUGGAGCUUUGGAACUUUUUCUCUUUUUUCAUUGAAGCAUGAAAGCAUUUUUUUUUUUUUUUUUUUUUUCUAUCAAGUACAGCAUCCAGCAUUAUACACAAGAUAAAAGCAGCACCAAGCCAAAAUUAUAUGAUCUUUCCCUUUUUUUCUUUCUCCUUUUCAUGUUAUUUCGAAGUUAAAAGAAAAAAAAAAAAGGACUGUAUUUUCAGGAAACUUUUUACAGGAAGCGUGAACAGAAAACCACGUUUUGUUAUGCCAUGUCCAUUGUCUCUUACAGAUUUCACACAGCUUCAAACUCCAAAAAGCAAAAUAGGAGAAUAGAUGAUAUGCAACAAAUCAGCAAAGCAACGGAAAUUUGUAUGCCUUAUAUGUGCAACCAAACCUAUGAUAGCAAGCUUUAAUAAAGGAUGAGAAAA
rnacentral:misc_RNA from 1 species